rnacentral:rRNA from 1 species
AUGAACGCUAGCGGCAGGCUUAAUACAUGCAAGUUGAGGGGCAGCAUGAUAUACGCGAGUAUAUUGAUGGCGACCGGCGGACGGGUGAGUAAUAGGUAGGAGACCUACCUCAUACAGGGGGAUAGCAUAGAGAAAUCUGUGGUAAUACCCCAUGAGGUUAUAUGAAUAGAGGCAUAUAAUCAAAGCAUAAGCGAUUAUGCGGUAUGAGAGGGGCCUACUGACCAUUAGCUAGUUGGUGAGGUAAGGGCUCACCAAGGCGAAGAUGGUUAGGGGUUUUGAGAGAGAGACCCCCCACAUUGGAACUGAGAGACGGUCCAGACUCCUACGGGAGGCAGCAGUAGGGAAUAUUGGGCAAUGGGCGAAAGCCUGACCCAGCCAUGCCGCGUGAAGGAAGACGGCCUUAUGGGUUGUAAACUUCUUUACUACACGAAUAGAGGUUAGUACGAGAUACUAAUAGGAAGGUAGUGUAGUAAAAAGCACCGGCUAACUCCGUG